rnacentral:misc_RNA from 1 species
UUUGGACAGCCAUUCGAUCACUGGUCACCCUAGGCCUAUCUUUCUCUUCGGCUUUUUCCAUAAGUGCACCUUCAGCCGGGUCGGUCAAUGGAUAUCGGGUCGCUGGAACGUCGUGCUCCGUGGGACAUGAGUCAAGGGUGGUCGCUGCCGAUCAGGAGGUCACAUCAUCACCUGUAGGAUCGCUAAGGCUAGGCUCCUUAUCUCCUUCCUCUCUCCCAAAGGUGUCUCCAGGGAGUUGUGAUGUCUCUCACAUGGCACAAGAGGCCGUCGAGGCCGAGGCCGAGCUGCUUUGCACGCAGCUUGCUGAAGCUGACGGUGGUGUCUUUCUAGCUUUGGGGGCUGAGCUUGAGAAGAUGUGCCACCGCCUAAGAUAGAUUCUAGACUACGUCAAGGUUCGUGACACCUCUCUGAUCGAGAGUCUGGACAAUGCCUCAUACCGUAUCCGGACAAUACCGUCUUUGGCGUCCAUAGGGGAGCCACGGGGGCACUGCUCAUGGGGGAGAUCUACUUCGGCUACCACCUUCGUGACAUCGUUGGUUCUCCUUCAUCCCUUUUGGACGAAGGGUUGGAGGACAUGCUGGAAGGUUAUGACAAGGUGGCCAGUCAUGUCGUGUUUUGGGUGUCAGCUCAUGACAUCGUGCGUGAUGCGCGUUGAGCACAAUGUACAGUGCCUCGGCACUUCCUUACUAAAAUAAGAAUAGAG